rnacentral:tRNA from 1 species
GCGCCCAUAGCUCAACUGGAUAGCGUGUUUGACUACGGAUCAAAAGGUUAGGGGUUCGACUCCUCUKGGGCRCG